rnacentral:rRNA from 1 species
CCUACGGGAGGCAGCAGUGGGGAAUCUUGCGCAAUGCACGAAAGUGUGACGCGGCAACGCCGCGUGGAGGGAGAAGGCUCUCGGGUCGCAAACUCCUUUCAGUUGGGACGAAGCUUCGUCGGUUAAUAGCCGGCUGGAGUGACGGUACCUUCACAAGAAGCACCGGCUAACUACGUGCCAGCAGCCGCGGUAAUACGUAGGGUGCAAGCGUUGUCCGGAAUCAUUGGGCGUAAAGAGCGUGUAGGCGGCCCGAUUAGUCCGCUGUGAAAGUCCAGGGCUCAACCCUGGAAUGCCGGUGGAUACUGUCGGGCUCGAGUCCGGAAGAGGCGAGUGGAAUUCCUGGUGUAGCGGUGAAAUGCGCAGAUAUCAGGAAGAACACCAACGGCGAAGGCAGCUCGCUGGGACGGUACUGACGCUGAGACGCGAAAGCGUGGGGAGCAAACAGGAUUAGAUACCCUGGUAGUCCACGCCGUAAACGAUGGGUACUAGGUGUGGGGGUGUCGACUCCCCCGUGCCGAAGCUAACGCAUUAAGUACCCGCCUGGGGAGUACGGCCGCAAGGCUAAAACCUUAAAGGAAUUGACGGCGNGAGACGNGCGAGGACGACGACGAGGGAGAGG